rnacentral:rRNA from 1 species
UACGGAGGAUGCGAGCGUUGUUCGGAAUCACUGGGCUUAAAGGGCGUGUAGGCGGAUUGCCAAGUGUCGGGUGAAAGCCCUCGGCUCAACCGAGGAACGGCCCGGCAAACUGGCGAUCUUGAGGCAGGCAGAGGUGACUGGAACGACGGGUGGAGCGGUGAAAUGCGUAGAUAUCCGUUGGAACGCCGGAGGCGAAAGCGGGUCGCUGGGCCUGUCCUGACGCUGAUACGCGAAAGCGUGGGUAGCAAACAGG